CACGGAGUUAGCCGGUGCUUCUUCUGCGGGUAACGUCAAUUGCUGAGGUUAUUAACCUCAACACCUUCCUCCCCGCUGAAAGUACUUUACAACCCGAAGGCCUUCUUCAUACACGCGGCAUGGCUGCAUCAGGCUUGCGCCCAUUGUGCAAUAUUCCCCACUGCUGCCUCCCGUAGGAGUCUGGACCGUGUCUCAGUUCCAGUGUGGCUGGUCAUCCUCUCAGACCAGCUAGGGAUCGUCGCCUAGGUGAGCCGUUACCCCACCUACUAGCUAAUCCCAUCUGGGCACAUCCGAUGGCAAGAGGCCCGAAGGUCCCCUCUUUGGUCUUGCGACAUUAUGCGGUAUUAGCUACCGUUUCCAGUAGUUAUCCCCCUCAUCAGGCAGUUUCCCAGACAUUGCUCACCCGUCCGCCACUCGUCAGCGAAGCAGCAAGCUGCUUCCUGUUACCGUCGACUUGCAUGUGUUAGGCCUGCCGCCAGCGUUC
rnacentral:rRNA from 1 species